rnacentral:rRNA from 1 species
UACGUAGGGUGCAAGCGUUGUCCGGAAUUAUUGGGCGUAAAGAGCUCGUAGGCGGCUUGUCACGUCGACUGUGAAAACCCGGGGCUCAACUCCGGGCCUGCAGUCGAUACGGGCUGGCUUGAGUGCGGUAGGGGAGACUGGAAUUCCUGGUGUAGCGGUGAAAUGCGCAGAUAUCAGGAGGAACACCAGUGGCGAAGGCGGCAACCUGGACAGAUAUUGACGCUGAUGUGCGGAAGCGUGGGGAGCAAACAGG